GCCCCACGUCCCGGUCCUCCUCGCCCAUCGAGCGCGCCGCCCCCCUCUCCUAUCAAUUCCGAAUCUAACGCCCGCAUGCCAUCUCCUCUCCUCUAUCUUCUGAACGCCCGCAUGCCAUCUCCUCUCCUCUAUCAUCUGAAAGUCAUGGUGUCAGUGGUGGUUCGGGCCUCGAUCCGGAGAACCGCGAGGCCACGUUGGGGCGGUGCGCAAGGGCGGCACUGGCGACUGGCUGGAAGGGGAAGCGGAGGGUGAUGGAGGAGCGGCGCUAUUUCCUCUGCCUCACCGUCGCGGCGGCGGUUCAGCGUGUCUUGGCGCCUGAUGGCCCCGCUGGGCCAAGAGCGCACCUUGCACCGGCUCGAGGAUAAGCAUGGGCGGCGGCCGACAACGAGCAUGGGUGGUGGCGUAUGGGGAGAGGGCGUCGGUGGCCUGUAGAUGAUGGGACGACGGUCGUUUGAUCAUGGGAGCACGACAAGAACAGUACUAAUCCUUCUCUGUCUCUGUAUCAAUGUGAGGCGCUCCUCCAUUCGAUCCCAAGAAAAUAACGAUUAUGUUUGAAGAUCAUGCUAGGAUUAUGCUUCAGAAGCGUAGGAACGACGCCUCCAACAGCACCUGCCGCCACAGCACCUGCAGCUCUGCGCGCACCUGCAACAUGGUCCUCCGUGCAAUGUAUUUUUUUUUUCAUCUAUACUAUUGGUGUCAAUCUGAAAAGUGAUCUGUGCAUAUGAUAUUUACGUAUCUGAA